UCAUCCUUUAAUCUAAUCAGACGACCCUGAUUAAUUUUUAAAUUUAUUUCCCUAUUUAAUCACCCAACCCUCUACCCCAUAAUCAUUUUCUCCCUCAUAAUGCCGACCCUCUACUCUCUUCCCCUCCUUUCUCCUUAGUCCACUCCUUCCCUCUCUCUAUCCAGCUCCAACGAACACCACCAGCGCCGUCUGUCAUUUCUUCUUUUUCUCUUGUUUCUCCUCCCUGCUUCUACUAUUUUUAAUCUCGUUGCCACUGUUGCUCCACCAAAACCACCAGUAGACCACCAUUAAACAAAUCCUCUACCCUCCUCUCUUCUCUCUAUUUUAAAAGCCCCGAUUUAAAUUCUACUUCAGUGAAAUUUGGAAAAUUCCAACAAAGAGGAACCUUCUGAAGCACCAAUGCAUUACUAAUUUUGAGUUCUUCAAGGACCAUGAAAUUUCACUUUUCAGUCUCCAUCCACUUUUGGGCAUCGAAAAAUUAUUUAAUGACAAAUUCGUGCAUAUUCGUCUCUGGAUGACAUUUGGCAUUCAAUUAAUUACUUCUCUUGUAGACACAUAUUUUUCUUUCUUGACAAGCUUUGUGAUUUGACGUUAACUGAAUUUAGUGAUUAAAUUUUGAUUAAUACGUUU
rnacentral:lncRNA from 1 species